rnacentral:rRNA from 1 species
UACGUAGGGGGCAAGCGUUGUCCGGAUUUAUUGGGCGUAAAGAGCGUGUAGGCGGCCAUUCAGGUCAGCUGUGAAAACUCGAGGCUCAACCUCGAGACGUCGGUUGAAACCGUUUGGCUAGAGUCCGGAAGAGGAGAGUGGAAUUCCCGGUGUAGCGGUGAAAUGCGCAGAUAUCAGGAGGAACACCAAUGGCGAAGGCAGCUCGCUGGGACGGUACUGACGCUGAGACGCGAAAGCGUGGGGAGCAAACAGG